CAAAUUCCUAGCUUAAGAAAAUUUUCGGGCGCCAGAAAGAAAGACUGAAAUUGUAUCGGCUGAAGCGAAAAUUUUUCUUGAAGUUUUAGUCUUAGUGGGAGUAAUUCUAUCUCGAAUUAGAUUAUCAUUUUAGUUGAAUCAACAAAUGUUUAUAUUUGAUUUAGAUUUUUGAUUUCUUAAUUUGAAUAACUUUCGUCAAUAAAGACCAAUUAUUUACAUAUGUCAAGAUCAAUUUUUCUUAGCUAGAGAUAAUAAUUGUUUGAAGUCAAGUGUUUUUUCUUCGCGAUGAGAAUUUACUCACUUUAAUCAUGAAAAAGUUACCUCGUCCCGAAAAACAUCUAUUAUGGCAUGAGCAAUAUAGGUGUUGUAGGUGAGCAGCGCCACCUAUUCUAGCUGAGAAAAAAGUUUGCUUUCCUCGAGAAAAGUUUUUUUUUUAAUAUUUGGUAUUGUUUUUGACUAUUUUAGUACGCAAAAUUAUAUAUUCAAUUAAAUAAAUUAGAUUAAAAUAUCCCAAUCAGUAUUAUUUCAAAAAUAAAGGUGCUUCCCCACUUCCGCAAUAGAAUUGCAAAGUUCUGACUGAUAAUCGCUUAACUGAGUCAAAUCUCAAAACGAAGUUUUUAUCACUUCCCUUGAAGUUCGAGUUAUUGAGAGUCCACUGCAUUGUCAACAUUUUUUAUCCUUGGUGAUUAAAGAAGAAAAUGAUUUGCCCUAUUAUUUUAUAUGUUGAUGAGCAUAGCUCAAACUUGACUCUUUCUUUAAGUGAGUUUUAUGCAGCUAAAAAAAUUGAGCUGAUAUCGUUUUAUCCAAAUUCCACGCACUUUAUACAACCUUUGGAUGUUGCGUUGUUUAUACCUUUAAAAAAAAGCUAUAAAAGCGCAGUGAUGGAAUGGCGUAAAGAACACAACAGUGCUUUAUUUUUAAGCAUGGCUAGGUUUUGUUAACAAAUUUGAUCCGAGUGAAACAGAAACUGAAUCCAUUAUAAUUGAAAUGAUAGAGGCAACUAGCGAUGAAAACGCUUCAAGUCUUCAAGGUAUCUUGAAUCAUAUUGAGUUAGAUAUGGAUGUUUCAAAGGAGAAUAAAGAUGUGAACAAUUCUGUAAUACUAAACGAGGACUUCAAUCCAGCAAAAUUUGCUGAGCAAAUGCACCUUUAAAGCAUCAAUUAAACCAAUCAGGCUCAAAUAUACCAUCUCCUUUUAAAAAUAUACUUUUUUGGCCAAUAACUGAUAAGCAAAAAAAAAUAGAAGUGGCAAGAGACGGAAGAAAGAAAAAUUACUUGCAGUGGCCAGUAGUGAAUAAUGGAUUAAGUACCAUCAGAAGAAAAAGAACAA